UACGGUAAAUCGUCAAGGCCAAUCAGACGUCAGACUGAUAUGCGGGGUGAAACGAUUCCAUACACAAAUUCGGUUUGUGGUUGCUGAUUUUUGUUUGCGAGUUUUUCUUUGGUUUGUAAUACGUUUCUAUUCGUCAGUACGUUUGAUUUUCGUUGUUCAACGCACUCGCUCGCAUUGUCUAGACACCAAGUGCAGUUGCAAUCAUGGAUGCAAUGGACAUACAAGCGGUCGAAUCCAAGUUGAGUGAUGUUACCGUUACGCCAAUCCCGAUGCACAUAAAGGCGCCAAUGCCGCAAAGCCAGUACCAAGCGAUGGCACAACCGCAAAUACAGAUUCAACCGCAAUAUCAACAGUUGUCGCACCAACCCACCUCGCCGGUAAUCGUAACAACACAGACAUCUGCGAACAUUACGACGCCAAUGACUUCGGCGGCGAAUAUCCCGUCGCUAUCGAAUCUGCAAGGACUCUCUAAGUACGCCCAGUUGUUAGCCGUGAUUGAAGAAAUGGGGCGCGAUAUACGGCCCACGUAUACCGGUUCGCGUAGUUCAACGGAACGCCUGAAACGCGGAAUCGUGCACGCUCGCAUUCUAGUGCGCGAGUGCCUGAUGGAAACCGAGAGGUCUGCCCGACAAUAAUGAACAUCAACAGCCAGUUAUCCGCCUUUUGCCAACAACCAACUCCAACAACGAUCAAAUCGGCCGUCCACACUUGACACCAAGAAAUCGACGAAUCGUUUCGAGGGAGCUUCGUCUUCUAGUUGAACCGCACGCGACAACCGACCACCAAGGUAUCAUCAAAAGGAGCUAGUUAAGCUUGGAAUAAUGCAAAUAGGAAAAUGCAUAAUUGUACGAGAUGUGAAAUCAUUUUCUUGUCAGGGAUUACGACGCAAUGGAAUCCAUUGCGAUCAUUAAGCAAUAAAGGAUUUGAAGCGUAACAAGAUUUGUGGUGAUUUGUGGUUGAAAACUUCUGAGUACAAUAUUUGGAGUAAAAAUCUCUGGUGGUAAAGUGUGCCUCCAGCCACCAAUAAAAGCAUUGAACAAAGGAUGUUUGGACUUAGAGUUGGAAUCCGGGGCUUCCUGGGUUGAUUUUUUCUUUAUUUUAUGCUACGUCGGCUCUAAUUUCAACUCCGACGACGCGGACUAUUUUUUAACGGAAGAAUUUAAGGGGUUACACUACAGUAAAGAUUGAAAAUUUAAGGUGCAAUUUGGUUUUUUGAGGUUGGAAGAAUAAACGGGUUUUUUUUUCUAAAGAUAUUGUAAAGGAUGUUUAGGAGAGUAUUGAAAACACAAAAAAAAUAUUAAAGAAUGGCUGCUCAACAUCCCUUUCUGUAGAACGGUCUUUUUUGAGGGGCUCCGCGGCACGUAGUAGAAGUGCAGCAAAAACUAGCCUGGAAUAAAAAUAAAAAUAUUUCUUAAACUCCAUUAGUUUAGCUAUAGAAAUACGUAGGAGAUUUUGAAGAUAUCAAUUUUUUUUUAAAUUGGCAAGCAUUUGAAAAAAAAAAAAUUCACUUUACUCCCAAUAAGCGGUCACUCAUUUGCAUCUAAAAAAAUCGAAAUCAGUGCAACUUCGAUAUAACAAAGCUGAAAGGAAUUAGAAAAUAUUCGGUAUUUCAAGUAAUUUUUUACAAUGAGGUUUUUUAUAUGGUGGUUAGGUUUGUCUACGAUACGUAUUAACAAAGUAAGAAAACUUGUCUAUUGUUCUUGUUAUAGCAAAUGAUUUCCACUAAUAAAUCUUCUUCUUUUUCUUCAGCCUUUUCCCCGUUUACAAACGGUGUCAACUGGUCGUAAUCGGUUUCGCCAUUUGGCUCUAUUGAUUGCCUGCUCUGGGUGCAAUCUUGAGGCUUUUAAAUCUCCACCAGUGUAUCAAGCGACCGUUGUUUCGGGCUGUUUUUUGGUCGUUUGUGUCCGGAUAGCUGAGUGGUUAGAGCACAAAGCUGUCGUACGGAAGGUCGGCUCAAAUCUCACUGGUGG
rnacentral:misc_RNA from 1 species